CCAUGUGAAGAAGGUGCUUGUUUCCCCUUUGCCUUCCGCCAUGAGUGUAAGUUUCCUGAGGUCUCCCAGUCAUACUGCUGGUUAAGCCUGCAGAACGGUGUACUUGUUUGAAAUGUAUCUGGCCCAAUCGCUGAGCGUCCGCGCUGCAUUUCUCCAAACUGCCCAGCAGGGGGCGGUGCUACCUCGGCUCCGCGCAGCCACGGCUUCCCGCUGGCGAACCAAGGGCGCGGAAUCUGGAGAGGGCGAGGAACAUCUUUCCUCCCACCUGUCCCCCGCCAAGCCUGCCAGACCCGUCUCAUCCGUGCUGCUGCUUCUGAAAAUCAGAAGAGUGAGGAUGAAAUAAAGUCUUCAUAAAGG
rnacentral:lncRNA from 10 species